AUGGCUCAGGACGAACGCUGGCGGCGUGCCUAACACAUGCAAGUCGAGCGAGGAGAUUCCUCGGGAUGAUCCUAGCGGCGGACGGGUGAGUAACACGUGGGCAACCUGCCUCAUAGAGAGGAAUAGCCUUCCGAAAGGGAGAUUAAUACCUCAUAACAUUGCAGUUUCGCAUGGAACAGCAAUUAAAGGAGCAAUCCACUAUGAGAUGGGCCCGCGGCGCAUUAGCUAGUUGGUGAGGUAACGGCUCACCAAGGCGACGAUGCGUAGCCGACCUGAGAGGGUGAUCGGCCACAUUGGGACUGAGACACGGCCCAGACUCCUACGGGAGGCAGCAGUGGGGAAUAUUGCACAAUGGGGGAAACCCUGAUGCAGCCAACGCCGCGUGAGUGAUGACGGCCUUCGGGUUGUAAAGCUCUGUCUUCAGGGACGAUAAUGACGGUACCUGAGGAGGAAGCCACGGCUAACUACGUGCCAGCAGCAGC
rnacentral:rRNA from 1 species